AGAGUUUGAUCAUGGCUCAGGAUGAACGCUAGCGACAGGCUUAACACAUGCAGGUCGAGGGGCAGCGGGGGAGUAGCAAUACUUCGCCGGCGACCGGCGCACGGGUGAGUAACACGUGUGCAACCAACCCCGUACCGGGAGAUAACCCGCGGAAACGUGGACUAACAUCCCAUAAGACUCUAGAGCCGCAUGGCUCUGGAUUUAAAAUUCCGGUGGUACGGGACGGGCACGCGCGACAUUAGGUAGUUGGCGGGGUAACGGCCCACCAAG
rnacentral:rRNA from 1 species